rnacentral:sRNA from 1 species
GUUUAUAUGUGUCAUU